CAUUGUCAGAGGCACAACUCUUUCAUUUGGUGCAAAUCUCUUUGAUAGGAACAAAGGAUAUAUUUUUAGGAAACACAUGUCUUUAACUUGAACUUCUGCAAGGGCUGGUGUUUUGUGAAUGCCUGUUCUCAUUAUUCCUUUAAUAAUGUCACCUCUUCACAAUCAGGAAUGUUUCACUGCUGUUGGUGCUGCAAACAGUCUCUUCCCAAACCAAAAAUUCACUCCCUCCCUUUGCCACCUUAAUUGCUUUAACAGCCCAGCUGUCUCUAAUAGGGACAAAUGGUCAAUUUACUUGGGCAGAUGGCAAGCAAGCUUGCUGGAGGGUUUGAGGUCAUGAAGACUGGCUUUCUUAAAGGCUGUAAAUACCCAUGCUGGAUGGUAUUUCCAGGCUGUUGAAGGCCUUGGAGUCUCAUCCUGAGGCUAUACCUGCCCAGCAGAGUGAGCCCAUUUCUACAUAGAGCUCUUUCAUCUAAUUCUGUUGAAAAUGUGAGAUAGUUUCAAUUUGCUGUAAAUGAAGAUGGAUGUGAAAACCCAUUCGCCUCAAUAAUGCCAGAACUGCCAGCCCAUGACUGCUGAGAAGAAAUGAAUCUAUUCUGCUGAAACUUCUCAGUGAAUUCAGAUGUUUACUGGACACCAAAUCACUGCAGGAUGACAAUGCUAAAAGACAGAAAUGCAUUUUUUCAGGCACUGGUUUUCAAAGCUUUUCAAGGUAGACAGCAAAACCCAGUUCUAAUCCUUUUCAAAACUGAAGCCAGAGGAAUGCCCUCCAUCCCAGACUUCUAUGCCCAACAGUAUGCCGUACUCUGAAGGAGAAGCAUUGAUGGGCUACCUGUGUGGCAGAGCCUAAGCCUGAGCCUGUGCCUGGACCUGGAGAAGUUAAUGAAGAAAGAGUAAAUGUAGAAAAAACCUGUCCAGUGGUUUCUAUACUUAAAAUUGUUCCUCAUAUUUUGAUAAACUUGCACUUGUAAAUGGAAAUUGCUGCAGAGGGGAGUAGAAAUGAUGGAGGGGACUGGAAGUCUGUCAAGCAUGACUAAGGUCACAGAGAGAGCUCUGAAGAGAAAGAGGGAGAAGAGCUGAUUUUGGAGGUGCCCAAAUAUGAGAGAUUAGAAGGGGCCAAGCCAUAAGAAGUAGAAGUAGAACUGGGCUGGAGGUGCUGAGACCAGCCUGGGAGGAGAAACCCAGGUUACAUAAAACCCCAGGUACAUAACCCACAGUUAUGCACACAGGAUGAAAUGGUGCAGGUGCGCAGUGCUGCAGAGAUGAAGAAUUAGAGAUCACAGGUGUAAGCUCUGAGAGAAGGGGGAGGAUAGGCUGUAUUUAUCUCCAGCACUUGCAGACACAUAAAUAAUUACAUGUUUAGGAGGGUGUAGAACUAAGGAAAGAAGGGUGGGAGGUGGCUGCCAUGCACAGUCAGAUGGCAAUCAGCCUCUCUUCUGGCAGACCUCAGAGGGGAGCACAGAAAGCACAGUGAGCCACUUGAUAGGCACUGCUGCUAAUAAAGUAUUGUUAUAAAUACUUUCCUUUUCUUUGGGCCCAGUGAAGGGAAGAAAAUACCCCCUUAUCACAACCCCAGUGAGUGAGGAACAAUCAGCUCCAGAACCGUGUGCUCUGUGUCUGUUUUUGGGGCACCUUGGGGCUGUGCAGGGCUGCUGCUCCUCCAAGGCUGGCUCUGCUCAGCCUCCCUACUUCUGACCCAGUCAAAUUCCUUCAAAAAUGCUGCUGCUCUCUGUCAUGGCAGUGGUCACAGUGCAUCCUAUAAAGCUUUUCACUUCCACACAUUUUUAUGAGGCUGAAGAUUAGCAGCUAGCUGCAUUUUGCAGAUGGUGAGCGUGAGAGGCUCUUGAUCCAGAGCUUGUUCUCUGUUUAUAAGUAUUGCAGACCAUGUUGGAUGGGAAAUAUCUUCACUUUUGCCUCAUUAGGGGUGCUCAGCAGAUGGGCCUCUAACAUCCAGUGGGGUAUUAAAGCAAUGUAUGGGACUUUGCUGCCUGAUUUGACUGAAAAUAGACAAUGGGGGAAGAGCUGGGAAGGGCAUCCAAGUGCUUGGGCUGUCAGUCUGGAGACCAGCUUGCUGGCUGGCUCCUCCUGCCCCAGCAAUGAUCCCCUGGGGCAGGGGUAUUACUGGAGCCAUGCUGUUUAUGUUGAGCUCACUCGCUGCCAGAUUACAUCACUUUGCUGUAAAAUAGCUCUGCCAGCAGAAGAAUCAGGAGUGAGGACAUGAGCAAUUUGCUAGGCUUAGAGCUGGAGCACUCAGAUUGCUGCUGGCUUAAAUGAUGCUUUGGGAAAAAUAAUAAAUCCCCCUCAUGUCCUUAGUAAUGUUGCGUAAAAGAUGAGUUGAGAUGGGCAUUGCUUCCCUCUCACCUGAGCAAAGGUGUGUGUGCUGUUGGACCAGUCAGUUUUACUUAGACAAGUUUAAUGCUGAUAAUGAGCCAAAAAUAACCCAGCAGACUAAAGAAAACUAAUCCAAAUGCUGGGUUUUGAUUCAAAAUAACAUCGAGACGGAGCCGUCUGAAACACAUCAUUUUCUGAUUAAAUUAAGUGACUAAUUCCAAUAUUCAUAUUAAAAUGGCCAUUUCCAGUGCUCAUCCUCAAAUUCAUUUUGAAGCAGCCCAGGCUCAGAUUGAUGCAGUAGUUAAUAGGAGUGAAUUUCAUGGCUCUCCACUGAGACUAGUCCAGGGUCCUCCCUGAACACUUAGAGCUUGUGAAAUACAAGAACUUGCAGGCUUGGAAGGAAAGAAUCUCCCACAAGCUGCGUUGUGGAUUCCUGCUGUGUUGUUUGGAGACAUGACCAUCACCAAGGGGAAUUGAUGUAACGUCCCAGCUAAGGAAGAACAGACUCAUGUCUCCUUCUGCCUUUCCUGACACCGUCACUUCCAACUCAGCUGUUUGGUACAGGGCAUAAAUUAGGGUAGGACUUGGCACAGGACUUUCAUUCACUCAUGUUUUAAAAUUUCUGCCUCAGAAGUUAUUCUUGGAGAAGAAUCAUGACUAUCUGUCAAAUACAUUUGCAGAGCAGCUCCACUGAAGACAAUGAAGCUACACCAGAAUUUAUCAUGGCAUAUAAACCAAGGUUAUCAACCACAUAAUUAAUCAAUUUCUUUCAAACUUGUGUGGCUGAGUCCCUUGCUCAGCUUUAAAAAUCCCAUUCCAUAUAUUUUGGAACUUUUUUUUUUGUGUGUGUGUGUCACAUUUUGCAUCUUGCUUGAGAUCUUUGUUUGGAUUUAGUAACAUAUAAAUGCUCUAGCUAAAUUUACAAUCUGUCUGAAUACAUAUCUUAAUGGAUUUGGUAUCGUUCCAGCUAAGACAAGCUGAGUUUUUUGGGGAAGAAAGGAAGCAGGGUUUUAUUUGAAAAACAACCCCCUUCCCAAAAAAAGCUACAGAGUUCAAAGUUAUUCUAAGAAAAAUAACAGUUUUCCACAGUGAAAUAACUGUAUGAUGACUCUUUUAUGCCAUGAGAAUUUUCAGCUAUAAAAAUGGUCUGAAAGUAGUCCCAUUAUUUAACUUAUCAACAAGUCCAUUCCUGGUGCCACGAUGAUGUGUCAUCAGUAAACCACACUUGGCAGGAGACACCAGAAUGGUUAAAACCAAAGGUUCUAAUGAUCAAAAGGCACUUUCAGAAAUUAAGCAUUUCACUAUUCUUAAAAUACAUAUUUUUGUUAGAGAGUUCAUUCCCCAUUCACCUUCUCAGAGGCCUUUUAGGUAUUGGAAUUUCAGCCCCCCUGGAAGAUGGGGUGGGUUCCAGCCUGCAGGAUGGCAGUGGUGCUGGAUUCUGGCAGGUGAUGCUCUGCCUCCUUAAACAGCUCCAUGCCCACUUUCAGGAAAUAAUGGUUUCUUUUAAAGGCAAAACCAUGAGAAUUUAAUUUACCUCUGGGAAUGCAGGUCCUCUGGGGGUGUCUGUGUGGGGGGGAAAGUGUGAACUUAUAAAUGCAGAGUCCUUUUCUGAUCCAUCAGGGAUGCAAGCAUGCACUCAUUGCCUCGCUCUGCACCCGUGGGCCUGAGUUUGACUCAGCUCUGAUGGGAUCUCUGGCAAUUCUGUGAUGUGGGGAUGUGAGGGCUGGUGAGACAUCGACAGCAGGACUUCUCUGCCUCCUCUCUUGGUUUGCUCACCAUGGCCACUUCUGAUGUUUGGACCUGCUGCAGCAAACUAGACUUUUCCUGCAGUAAAUCUAAUGGAGCAAAGCAAGAUCAGUGAGAAAAAUAUGGGAAAACUCAAUGAAGUAUAAAAAUGUGUAGUUUUACACUGCCUUGCUGUUUCAAACUCUGUUUUAGCCACUUUUAAGUCACUGUCUUAAGUUGUUCAGAAAAAUUCCUGUUUAUGAUAAUUUUUCUUUAACAGCACAGGGAGGUCCUCCAGUGACUGCCAAUGUGUCACUUCCAGGGGGAAGGCAAAGGCACACUUUCCUGUAGCCUGCACCAGCUCCUUGGUUUCAGCAGAUUCCUGUGUGCCAAAAGGGUUCAAAAUUGAUUUUACUCCAUCAGAGCUGAGCCUGAAAUAUGGUGUAGCCAACAUGAAUGACACUCCUGAAGGAAAAAGUAAUUUUGGAUAUUUUGGAGAUGCCUUGAACUGCUCCUAGGAUGGUGUGGAGGACCAGAAAGAGUGGCCAUAAACCCACGGCCAGUGCUGAGAAGCCAAGAGAUGAGUAGGAAGAACUGGAAGAAAGGGGAGAGAGGUGAAGUUGUUGCCUUCUUAGUGCACAUGUCCUACUCCACUUUCCCAGGGACUGGGAGAGGGGGCAUGGUCUCAAGCACCAAGGAGAUGAAGAAAUGCUUCCAACAAAGUUUAAAGAGAGUUUUCUGUGAGACCUUGGCCAGGGUAGGGAGUGGUCAGCAGGGCCCAGCUGCUCUGUGAGAGCACCCUGGCUGCCAGCAGCAACCUGGCCACAAAUCCCAGCCCUGCCCGGGGGGAUGCUGCUCCUAAGGAACUCCAGGAACCAAUCUGACUCCUCUUGGGGUUAGGACUUGAUAGUUCUGAGGGCUGGAGUUCCAACAUCUUCCCUUCUGCUGCUCUGGCUGGGAGCAAAAGACGUUUUGUUUGACGUGGUAUGUUCUGGCAACCUGGAAAAGCUUUGCAAUGUGAUUACAAUCCAGCUAGAGCAGGAUAUUCAGGAAGAUCUUGAAAGAUCCGUGUCCUGUGCCAGUGUCCUGUGCCAUUUCCAUCUUUCUUUGACAAUGGAGCUUAGGUGAACACCAGAAGUCUGCACCAGCCCUAUUGAUUGAUGACUGAGGAUUGAAUCAGUUGAUGGAUGCAGGCCUGUGUCCCAGGAAGAUGAGGAAUUAAGGCAACAAAAUACAUUGAAAACUGACUCAUGGAUUUUUAAUGAUCCUCUUUUUUUUUAUGACUCUGAUGACAUGAGCCUUGAUAAAUGUUACAUCUUUUAAACACGGUGCACAACAUAAUAUUCAGGGGAACCCAUCUUUUUCAAAAUCAGCUAUUAUUCUCAUAGCUAUGCCUCUCUUUUUUUUUUACCCUCCCUUUUUUCUCUGUGUUGUAAAGACACUUGUUCCUGUUAUUUGCUAGCCACCUGGAACCUUGAACUUUUGUUUGUACCAGGAAUUUAAUUUUUUUUUUAAAGAGCAAACAGCUUUGCCUUUACACCUGGAGAAUUAAGAGACACAGCAGGAGGAGCAGAGAAACUCUUUAGGAGGUAUUUCCACAGUAGGGUUUGCAAUGCUGCAGGAUGAUAAAAGAGAAUGAUAGAAACACUGUGAUCAACAACUGAAGUGAAAUGGAAGGCAAACACUGCGGACCACAUCUUUCUCACAGUAAAAAUAAAUGUGUUGCAAAGUGUAGAAAUGAUUAGAUGAAAAGAAAAGCUCAGUCUGAGCAAAGGUUUCCUAACGUGCUGCUGCUGAUUGCUCCUGGAGGCAGAAAAGUGACCCUGGGGAAGAUGGAAUUGGUACCUGAUGGUGUCUCAGGGUAUAUCCCCAGCAUCACUUUUCUUUUGUGGAGCAGGUUGGAGGAAUGGGUGUGGGUGGAGAGCAGCUCUUCACAAACCACCAGUGAGCAAAGCCAGUUUAUGUCUGAAGCCCAGCUGGUGCUCUGCCUGGGCUCCCAUCACUGCUCAUCCCAUACAACCUCUGUCAGGAGGAGGAUGAUUAAUCCCAGAUCCUGGAAGCAGUGAUUUCCUACAAGGCCAUGCUGUAAUGGGCAGGGAUAAAUACUGCUAAGUGGUCCAGUCAGUGCACUACAGAGUGCUGUGCUUGGCUCCCAGUGCUAGUGACAGCACAAAAUGAAUUUCAACUAAUUCAUUGUUUUGAUAAACAACUAUCAUCUCCCAUCUCUGGCUGCAACUAUGGUUUUAUGAGCACCCAUUUGGUGCCUAUAAUAAUGUAGGGGUUAUUAUUAGCCUUCUGCUUGGAAUCUGGACACACAAUCCUGGGAACUGUUCAGAGUAAACUUUAAAAUUAUGUGUGUGUGUGUGACAGGGGGGAAGCAUGAUCUAAAUUUAAAUGGUAAAUAUCUGCUUUCAUUCUCAAUGCUUAAGGGCAUUCAGCUAAUAAACAUUGCAUGGCUUCAAACAAAAUAAAAGCCACAGUAGUAGAUAAUGGGUGCUGUAAAACCUCUGACUUAUCUCAAGUCUGGAACUUGGAGGAUUAACAUAACUUAGUUUAUGAUGUUCAUCACAGCUGCCAGGAGACCUGGCCCUGCCUCCCCAGAGUGCAAGAGCUAAAGGGAGUGCUCUUCUGGUCUCAGCUGAGCAAUCAGCUGUACUUAGUUAAAAGCCUGCAUUUAGAGGGAGCUUUUCUCCAUGCUAAAUAAUGAGUUGCACUCCAAAAGUCUGAGGUGUUAUCUGGGUGAGAUUCUCUCGUCCAUAGAAAUUACACAGAUAAGAUAUAUAACAAGUCAUAUAUUCAGGGCUCUUUCAGUCAUUAUCUCAUGCAGUGGUUUAUCCACUUUGAAGUGACCUUAGUGAUGGGAUUUUCUUCAUUCCUUUUACAUGAGGCUGAAAACACCAAGUUCCUGUUUGUUCCAGGGGGAUUUUAAAGAUCCCACAGCAGUUUGGCAAAGGAAUCUUCCCCUUCAAGGACCCUCCCCUCCAUCCUGAACCUUGGUGGAUACACACCACCACAGUGGGCAGCAGUGUCAGGGCUCAGAGAUCAUGCAGCUCCAAGGAAGUUUGCAAUUAUGAUGAUAUUAGCUGUGGCAUUCACAUUCUCUGAAAAAAUUCCUUCACCCAGGAUUUUCUCCUGGGAAGAUGAGGAGCCUCAGAGAAAAAGGAAAACAAAUUCUUAUCUCAUUUGCUUCUCCUGUGUUGUGCUCACAUGUGGAAUG